AUUGAACGCUGGCGGCAUGCCUUACACAUGCAAGUCGAACGGCAGCAUGAUCUAGCUUGCUAGAUUGAUGGCGAGUGGCGAACGGGUGAGUAAUACAUCGGAACGUGCCCUGUAGUGGGGGAUAACUAGUCGAAAGAUUAGCUAAUACCGCAUACGACCUGAGGGUGGAAGUGGGGGACCGCAAGGCCUCAUGCUAUAGGAGCGGCCGAUGUCUGAUUAGCUAGUUGGUGAGGUAAAGGCUCACCAAGGCGACGAUCAGUAGCUGGUCUGAGAGGACGAUCAGCCACACUGGGACUGAGACACGGCCCAGACUCCUACGGGAGGCAGCAGUGGGGAAUUUUGGACAAUGGGCGAAAGCCUGAUCCAGCAAUGCCGCGUGUGUGAAGAAGGCCUUCGGGUUGUAAAGCACUUUUGUCCGGAAAGAAAUGGCUCUGGUUAAUACCUGGGGUCGAUGACGGUACCGGAAGAAUAAGGACCGGCUAACUACGUG
rnacentral:rRNA from 1 species